rnacentral:precursor_RNA from 15 species
AUAGAAAAAAUCUAAACUAAAACAUUUGUCUGCGAGCCAGAAUCUAGUGAAAUACGUUUUAGUUCGGGUAUCACUAGAUUCUAGGUCGUUGACAAAAUGCUUUGCUUUGCAACAGAAAAAUC